ensembl:lncRNA
CAAGACAGACCUGUGUUUUCUAACAGCAGCUCUGGAGGAAGAGGACACGUAAAGAGGCCUGGCUCUCUGCUGUUCGCUGAAGCUGCUCCCUAGUGUGAUGGGUCACACGUGGUUUCCUUCUCACAGGGACUUCUGCAACAUGGCUGCUUGUGACAUCAAGCCCACAGGGAGAGCCCCUGGCUCAGUUUGCUAAGACUGGACUAAAGGAUGCCCAGAAACUGGAUGAAGCAUUAUUUCUGGCUGUGUCCAUGAGGUGCUUCUGGAGGAGAAUGACACUGAAAAGUCAGACUGAGCAGAGAAGACCCGUCCUUACUCAGACAGGAGGUCAUUAUCCCAUCUACAGAGGGCCUGAACAGAACACAAAGGCCAAGCAAGGGGAGUCUGCUUCCAUUUCAGCUUGGCACCAUUUUCCCCUGCCCUGGGACACUGGUGUUCCUGGUUCUUGAGCCUUCAGACUCAGACCGGGACUAGCUUCAUUUGUCCCAGGUUUCCAGGACUCAGACUGAAUGAAACCACCAGUUUUCCUGGCGCUCUGUCAUGCUGUGGGCAGACCGUGGGACUUCUCAGCAUGUGUAAUCAUCAGUCAAUUCCCAUCCUAAAUCUCUUCAUUUAUCUCGGAUUGGGUCAGUUUCUCAGGAGAAUCUGAUUAAUAUAAUCUGUAAGCUCAGUGUUUUUGCCAUUAAGAAAUAAAGAAUGAAGAGC